rnacentral:siRNA from 1 species
GUAAUUCUAGAGCUAAUACGUG